GUCCCUGUAGCGCAAUGGAUAGCGCGUUGGACUUCUAAUCCAAAGGUGGUGGGACCCACCUGAGAUG